GUACUCACUUCGGCAGCAUAUAUACUAAAAUUGGAAUGAUACAGAGAAAAUUUGCAUGGC
ensembl:snRNA U6 U6 spliceosomal RNA